rnacentral:lncRNA from 1 species
CAGGGGACCCUGAAAAGUCCUGGGGCUGAGAGGAUGUCAGGGAACCCAAGGAGAGGUGAAUAUGGGCUUCGGUUGAUAAUAACAUACCAAGAUUAGUUCAUUAAUUGUGACAGCUUCCCUGGUGGCUCAGAUUGUAAAGAAUCUGCCUGCCAGUGCAGGAGACAUGAGUUUGAUCUGAUCCCUGUGUUUCAGGAAGGGGGACCCCUUCCAGGGCCCGAAACUGGACUCUUGUCUAACAUGUGGAAAUGAAUUGUCUGAGGAGACACAUGUGCUGACAAAGCAAGAGAUUUUAUUGGGAAAGGCACCCGAAUGGAGAGCAGUAGGGUAAGGGAACCCAGAACAGCUCUGACAUGUGGCUUGCAGUCUCGGGUUUUAUGGUGAUGGGAUUAUUUUCCGGGUUGUCUUUAGCCAAUCAUUCUGAGUCAGAGCCCUUCCUGGUGGUGCACGCCUUCUUCAACUAAGAUGGAUGCCAGAUAGAAGGAUUCUGGGAGGUGGUCGGACAUGUGGUGUCUCGUUUUGACCUUUCCCAAACUCUUCUGGUUGGUGGAGACUUAUUAGUUCCAUGUUCCUUACCAGGACCUCCUGUUGUAAAACAACUAAGAUGGAAAUGGUUACUAUGGUGCCUGGCCAGGCUGGGCAGUUUCAAUCAGUGUGCUUCCCCUAACACCUGGAUUGGGAAGAUCCCCUGGAGGAGAAAAUGGUAACCCACUCCAGUAUUCUUGCCUGGGAAAUUCCAUGGAUGGAGGAACCUGGUGGGCUACAGUCCAUGGGGUCAUAAAGAGUCAGACACGACAGAGCACCAGGCACAUCAUAAUAAGAAUCUCGUCAACUGAAGGGGAAGGAACACUUGGAGACUUGGAGGCCUGGAACUCACAGUGCUCAGAAGACAGGAAAUUCUGCCGCAUCACCAGAAGAGAAAAGCUAUUGCCUUGUGAUGGGCAAACUCACCUUCUGGGCUGCCUGACCAGUGGCCUUUCCUGCUCAGAACACCCUUGGAUGAGCACGGAAGGUGCUGCCAGAGACCGUUGCUUCCUGGGAAAAAU